rnacentral:lncRNA from 1 species
GAAGGCUUCAUGUGUUCAGAACUGCUCAGAACACUGUUUCGUAUCAGAUUAUGCCACCCAGAUUUUGUGACAUGAGAGAAAGCAGAGAACUGUUUUCUAGUAUUUGAGUUUGUAAUAACCUUGCAAUGCACGAGAUCUUUGGACCACUAUCUCCAACACUAACGCCGCACAAAAGAGAUCGGAAGGUCUAACUUCUUUGGCGGCAAUCUGGUGGGUUGCCUGGAAUGAAAGAAAUCACUUUAUCUUCAACCUAAAGGCCCCUUGAUGCGGCUCGAGCUCUUGACCGCGCCAACCUCCUAGUGACAUCUUGGAUGAAUCUACUGUGAUCGGCUCCUGCGCCUGUUCUUUUCUAUUUUACUUUUACUUUGUUUCUUUCAGUUUUUUUCUUGUUUUGGUUUUCUGUUUUUCUACUUUCCUGUCUCUUUCUCCGGAAGCCCCAGCUGCUUCCAAUCUGUACGCCUAGUUCAUUUUGCUUAAUGAAUGAAGCGGAUAGCUCGUUACCUUUUCUCAAAAAAAGAGUUUGUAAUAACCUGGCUGCUUAGAUAACACGGACUUGCUCGACUUUGUUGUUUAAAGCUCCACUGUUCGUCCAAUUACUGUCUGACUGACAGUUCGAUCUAUUGAUCUAGUUCAUCUUAAUGUGCUAUUCAGGCGCUCCGCAGUUCGCACCUUUAGUUUAUCCUCUUCAUUAAUAGUGCAUUGGCAGCUGAAACACUCGCGUGUUUGCGAAGAGAAAAGUAGAACAGACUGCAAUCGGAGCGCACCCUUUCUUCCUAUGCGUAUAAACCGAAAAUUCAAGUUUUCUACACGUCCAAGAUUGCACAACCACCGAAAAAGACAAGAAUGGAGAAAUAAAAAGCUCACAAUAAUAAUCUCAAACAACUCUACAUAUAAAAUAAAAUAAUUUUACAAAAAAUAUCCAAAACACCAUACAAUGAAAAUCGAAAAAUACCAAAUAAACCUUCAAUCAAAACACCUUAGUAUGAAUGUUCACAAGAGAGAAGAAGAGAUAGAUUAGAGGCCACCCCCC